CAGCCGCCACGGUAAUACGAAGGGUGCAAGCGUUAAUCGGAAUUACUGGGCGUAAAGCGUGCGUAGGCGGUGAGUUAAGUCUGCUGUGAAAUCCCCGGGCUCAACCUGGGAAUGGCAGUGGAUACUGGCUCGCUAGAGUGUGUCAGAGGAUGGUGGAAUUCCCGGUGUAGCGGUGAAAUGCGUAGAGAUCGGGAGGAACAUCAGUGGCGAAGGCGGCCAUCUGGGACAACACUGACGCUGAGGCACGAAAGCGUGGGGAGCAAACAGGAUUAGAUACCCGGGUAGUCCCUGUCUCUUAUAC
rnacentral:rRNA from 1 species